AAUACACUUUUACCGCACUGAUGGUUCUUAGGCUCAAAGUAGAAGAGACAAAAUCAUUGAUGAGCAUGUUUGGUGUCUGCUUAAGUUUUGUCCUGUUUUUAUUGAUCAACAGAAAUCUAAGAAACUGUAGCUUGGGUGGAGCAGUUCCCGAUCUUAGCAAGAUGCUAUAUCUUAGUUUUAUAGAUUUGAGUUGGAAUAAGUUCACCGGAGCAGUUCCUUCAAACAAGAUGUCAGAUAACGUCACUACAAUCAACUUACAGAGGCUAUUAGUCCUUUGACUAAGGAAACACAGAAAGUGUUUCAUUAUCAUAGCGCUCUUAAAGAAAAACUUAAUGGUGAACUUGAGAAGCAGGCUGAAAUAUGGAGAAAGCGACAGCAGGAAGUUGACGACCUUCUCAAACUUAAAUCCAAGAUAAACGAGUAUGAUGAGACUAAGAAAGAAGAGCGCUUAAAAGAGCUACAAGUAAGAAAGUCACAGUGAGAAUCUCAGCGUGAGAACUAUGGUCAGAGGAAGAAGAAAAUAUCUGAUGAAUUGGAAAGUGCACGGGAAAUCAAGAAGAACCAAGAGUUAUUGAGACAUAAUAUUGAUGACAACAUUAUAUACAGGGAGGCAAAAGCUAGAGUAGCUGAGCUGACUCAUGACCUUGACUUGCUGGAGCAGAGACUAGUAGAGAUGGGUAGUUCUGAGAUAAUUGAGUCUGAGCUAUUUAAGUUAAACACUUAAACAAAGAAAGAGACAGGCUUCUGUCUGAGAUGGCAGGCUGCAAUCUUUUCAAUUGGUUAGGUGACCUUUUACUAAAUGCUGGGUGCAAACCUAACUUGUAUCGACUGAGUUUGAAGUACACAAAUGUAUUAUGACAGCCAAGCAUUAUGGGAUCUUCUAUUCUAUUUUACAUCGCUGCUUUUGGGGGUGGCACCACCAUGCCCAUACCCAUUGGCUCCGUGGCCUCAGCAGGCCCGUCCACCAGCAGUGCGUGGUGGCACCACCAUGCCCAUACCCAUCGGCUCCGUGGCCUCAGCAAGCCUGUCCACCAGCAGCCCGUGGCCCAGGGAUACUUGGAGCUAGACCUCAGCAGGCGUAUGCAACGUCAGUUGCACCUCCAUCCCAAGUUGGAUACACUCCGACACACAUUGAAGCAGCAAUGCACACCCUCACUCUCACUCUCACUCCGCCGGAUGGAAAUUGGUAUAUGGAUACCGGUGCAACAUCUCAUAUGACAUCGGACCUGUUAGGUUAUGAAAAAUAUAAACAAUAUAAUUCAUGCGGAAAAACAAUAAAUCCAGGAAUCCAAAUUAAUUGCCACAUGCAUAGUCAAUUAGCAUAAUUAGGAUCAAAUGUUGCCCUUCAGUAGAUAGUCCACACCACGUUCGGAUCCGCCUCAGAUUCAAUUAACUAGAAUAUUAUCUAAGGUUUUAUGUGCACUCGGAAAGUUUAUUAUUAAUUUUAGGCAAAUUAUUAAAUUCUUUCUUGAACUUAAUGUAUGUGAAUA